rnacentral:rRNA from 1 species
AUGCACGCUGGCGGCGUGCCUCAUACCUGCAAGUCGAGCGAACAGACGAGGAGCUUGCUCCUCUGACGUUAGCGGCGGACGGGUGAGUAACACGUGGAUAACCUACCUAUAAGACUGGGAUAACUUCGGGAAACCGGAGCUAAUACCGGAUAAUACAUUGAACCGCAUGGUUCAAUAGUGAAAGACGGUUUUGCUGUCACUUAUAGAUGGAUCCGCGCCGCAUUAGCUAGUUGGUAAGGUAACGGCUUACCAAGGCAACGAUGCGUAGCCGACCUGAGAGGGUGAUCGGCCACACUGGAACUGAGACACGGUCCAGACUCCUACGGGAGGCAGCAGUAGGGAAUCUUCCGCAAUGGGCGAAAGCCUGACGGAGCAACGCCGCGUGAGUGAUGAAGGUCUUCGGAUCGUAAAACUCUGUUAUUAGGGAAGAACAAAUGUGUAAGUAACUAUGCACGUCUUGACGGUACCUAAUCAGAAAGCCACGGCUAACUACGUG